CAUACAGUAACCAUAAAUAUAUAUUCCUGUUUCUUAUAAAGAAUAUAUUAGUUAAAGAUUAAAAAAUAAGGUCACGAGACUCACAUAGUCACAAGUUCACAAUCUUUGACAUCAGCCUCCCACCACAUGUACCCCAUAUUUAUAUUUACAUGUAUAUUCUCCUCCAUUUUCAUCAUCUCUAAUAUCUCCAAGUCACACCUCCAAGAGAAGUCAGAUUCUGGUGAGGAUGAGAUUUGGGAAGAUUGUGGAAGGCUUGAAGUCCAAGAUAAAGGCAAGUCUAAGGAUGCGGAAGAGAUCCUCAUUGUCAUCAUCGUCAUCGUCGUCAUCAUCAUCAUCAUCAUCAUCAUCAUCAUCGUAUGAGAAGAUAGAGAAGACUGACA